rnacentral:tRNA from 1 species
GCGCCGGUGGUGUAAGGCGAACAUCGCUGCCCGGAAAGCAGAAGAUGCGGGUUUGAAUCCCGCCUGGCGUA